UAGGUGUCAAGAAAACUGGCCAUCUUUGCCAGUUGUGGUCGGCCAUCCAACAUAUCAAUGUUUGGGACACCGUGCAUGUGUUUGGACCAUUGAGAUGUUGGGUAAAUUUAGAUAAAGGCUUCCUUCUCUUCAAAACUUCAUCUUCAUCUUCUUCAAACCCAAAAUUCCAGUUAAACAAGUGAAUGAGAGGGAAGAUUGAGAGCAAAAGAUAGUAUAGAGAGAGAGACGCACCAGAAUAGAACACAUGUUUUAUGUGAGUAUCAGAGGAGAAAUUGCUUCUUCUUGAUAAGAUGAGUCAUUUUUUCCUCUUCUGAUUUAUUCUUUUUAAUUCUUUGGUGUCAUAAGACAUUUCUAUUUGGAAGAUUAACUAUUAAAUUAUUGCUGCAAGUCCCAGAACUUAGAACAAUAGCUGCUACACUUGAACGACGCCUCUGUUUAAGUAGGCAUCUGUUCUCUAUUCCAACUCAUUUUCUAUUUUAUUUUUUUUUUACAAAUUCAUAAUCAAUCAUUAGGAUAACGUGUUAGAAAUGUUAGAAUUUAUUUUUUAGUAGUAAAACAAAUCACAAACACGAAUCUAUCUUGAAAACAUCACUCAACUUAGCAUGCAUAAUCAUACUAAACUGUAGAGAAAAAUCUUCAAAUUUUCAACAAUUCCUUCACGCGAUUUAGCUUAUGUCUUGUGCAGUUAUUAAGUAAGAUAGGUAAUAUUUUAGAUUAUACAAAAAUAGCCUUUAUAUAUUAAUUUGCAUGUGGUAAACUCUUUCAAAAAUUAAAACUAACCCGGUGUUUUAAAUAGAUAGAGUGAGUAAUUGUCAUUUGCAUUUUUUUAGUGAUUUUUAUUUACUAAUUUUAUGAGUUUUAACAUUUAAUUAUUAUAUUAAUUCAGUAUAAAUUAAAUGACGAAUAAUUAUUAGAGAAACUGGAAAGAAAAUGACAAAAAACAAAAGUUCAUUUGUUUCUUCUAAGAAUGUCGGACACCAAAGUGCCUUGUGGUUAUGCAGCCCUAUUCUGCAGUACUAGUUCACAUAAGAGACAUUUUUCUGGGUACCCAGAAUUGCUUAAGACUUCUCUAGCAUGGUGUAGAAAAGAAAAUGUCAGAGGGUGCAAAGCUGAUCUGGGCAUCUGUGAAUGCAAAAGAUGGAAAGCUAGCAGUAUGCCACUACAGAGUCUAUUUCCCUUGCGCCAGUUGCUUGUGCAAUAGGCUAGCAGGCCAUGCUGGCUGGACUGGCAUGAAAUCAGUGAACCACAUUUAACUAAAUAUUGUGUUAUUUGAGUUUUAAACCC
rnacentral:lncRNA from 1 species